GUGCUCAUUUCAGCAGCACAUACACUAAAAUUGAAAUAAUAUAGAGAUUAGCAUGAUCCCUGCACAAGGAUGGCAUGCACAUUUGUGAAGUGUUUUGUAUUUAU